AUCGCUUCUCGGCCUUUUGGCUAAGAUCAAGUGUAGAAUUGAUCACUUCCUCGAUUCUGGAAUGCUUCCUUCGCUUGGCUUGCUGGUUACCACAUCGUCUUGGUUUUUCUCCUACUCUCUGCUGUGUGUGCUUUUC
rnacentral:snRNA from 1 species